GACGAACGCUGGCGGCGUGCUUAACACAUGCAAGUCGAAGGAAGUGGCGCACGGGUGAGUAAUAUAUAGCUAAUCUGCCCCUUGCUGGAGGACAACAGUCAGAAAUGACUGCUAAUACUCCACAGGGAGGGAUGAGACUAUAUCGUCUCAGCUAGUCGGUGGGGUAACGGCCUACCGAGGCUAUGACGCGUAACUGGUCUUAGAGGAUGAUCAGUGACAUUGCACGUGGGACACGGUCCGAACUCCUGCGAGAGGCGGCAGUCGGGAAUCUUGCGAAUUGGGCAGUCCCUGGCGGAGUAUCGCCGCGUGGAGGAUGACACUUUUCGGGGCGUAACCUCCUUUUGUUAGGGAAGCGGUACCUCACGAAUAAGCACCGGCUAACUCCGUGCCAGCAGCCGCGGUAAUAC
rnacentral:rRNA from 1 species